GCUUUCUCCAACCAUAUGGUUAAAAAGAAUUAUAUAUAUUUUCUGUUUGCAUUAAAAAAAAAUAACAAUAAGAAAAACAACUAUCACGUAUGAUCAUAUAAUUCCUUGGUACAUAUGUGCUAACUGGAACACUAAUUUAAAUAAUCCAAUGAGAAAGCUGAAAAUUCCGGUGAGAGUGAUAUAUACCUGGCAAAUUACGAGCAGUUGAUGACAAAUCUGCAAACCAUCGAAAUGUCAAAAGGGAAUUGGAAUGAAGCAUACCCCAGUGGCCGUGUGCUUUCCUUUACUUGCAUUUCCUCAUUCAAUAAAACACUCCAAAAGUAGGAUGUUUUCUGAUUUUGAACCCCUCAUUUAAUUUCUUCUCUCCCAAUAACCUUGGCAACUCUAAAACAGCUCAUGAUUACCAGGAUGUUUUGCACGUCUGCAGCUCUGCUUCAUAUUAUUACAGACAGUAAAACUCGCAAAAGAUGGGGACUAUUAAUGG
rnacentral:misc_RNA from 1 species